GACCCGAAACCCGGUGAUCUAGCCAUGGGCAGGUUGAAGGUUGGGUAACACUAACUGGAGGACCGAACCGACUAAUGUUGAAAAAUUAGCGGAUGACUUGUGGCUGGGGGUGAAAGGCCAAUCAAACCGGGAGAUAGCUGGUUCUCCCCGAAAGCUAUUUAGGUAGCGCCUCGUGAAUUCAUCUCCGGGGGUAGAGCACUGUUUCGGCAAGGGGGUCAUCCCGACUUACCAACCCGAUGCAAACUGCGAAUACCGGAGAAUGUUAUCACGGGAGACACACGGCGGGUGCUAACGUCCGUCGUGAAGAGGGAAACAACCCAGACCGCCAGCUAAGGUCCCAAAGUCAUGGUUAAGUGGGAAACGAUGUGGGAAGGCCCAGACAGCCAGGAUGUUGGCUUAGAAGCAGCCAUCAUUUAAAGAAAGCGUAAUAGCUCACUGGUCGAGUCGGCCUGCGCGGAAGAUGUAACGGGGCUAAACCAUGCACCGAAGCUGCGGCAGCGACGCUUAUGCGUUGUUGGGUAGGGGAGCGU
rnacentral:rRNA from 1 species